CCUGCCUGCAUUCUGCCUACAGUGGGUAUUGUGACAUAUCCCUGGCACAGAACCAAGGUAAUGUGACUCACCUACCUGGUUCCUGCCCACUGAUGGGAUUGUGACAUAUACCUAGGUCCAGCUCACAGGCAUGAUGAUAACUGUCAUACGUGGACACAGCCAAUAAGAGAUUUUUGCUCUUAGGCUUAUUACAACAGAGUCUCGCUCUGUCGCUCAGGCUGGAGUGCAGUGGCACGAUCUCAGCACACUGCAACCUUCGCCUCCCAGGUUCAAGCAAUUCUCCUGCCUCAGCUCUUGGACAAAACUUCAGCACUCCUGCUAGGGUGUGUCUGCCCUACUAAGACACUGUGCGCAGGUGGAGUUGAGGCUCUUAUGUAUGGAUCCUGUCCACUGUUGAGAUUGUGAAUUGCAUGUGUAGACUCAACUCACAGGAGGUGUUGACUCACAAACCUCCAGCUGGGACAUGUGCAGGAUUAGAAAUUUUAUUUCUGGAUCUUUCUUCAGAAGGCGUUGUAACAUCUCACUAAGCCCAGCACUCAGGUGAUGUGGCUUUCCUGCUAUGGCACUGCACACAAGAAGAAUGUUGACAGAAUUCUGUCGGAAUGUUGAAGAAUUCUGGCCCAGAAUUCAGGUGGUUUGGUGACUCUCAAACCAUGAUUCGGCAGACCUGUGAGGCUGUGAGUUCCCUAUCAGAACACUAUCUGCAGGUUGUAUUGUGCCAUAUACCUGGGACCAAAUUACAAGCACAAUGAUGAAUCUUUUACCUGGAGUCAAGACAUGGGCAGGAUGAUGGAACUUAUCACUGGACCUUUCCACAGUGUUAUUGUGACAUAUGCCUUUGCCCAACAUGUGGUGAUUUGACUCUCCAGACUGGGUCCAGUUCACAAAUAAAAUCGUGCUGUAUACUUGGCCAAGAACCUAA